AGUGUCAUAGCUUAGUGGUAAAGCGCUAGCUUCACAAACAAGUGAUCGGUGAUUCGAUUCCACCUGGUGCCU
rnacentral:tRNA from 1 species